GAUGAACGCUGGCGGCGUGCCUAAUACAUGCAAGUCGAGCGAACGGACGAGAAGCUUGCUUCUCUGAUGUUAGCGGCGGACGGGUGAGUAACACGUGGAUAACCUACCUAUAAGACUGGGAUAACUUCGGGAAACCGGAGCUAAUACCGGAUAAUAUUUUGAACCGCAUGGUUCAAAAGUGAAAGACGGUCUUGCUGUCACUUAUAGAUGGAUCCGCGCUGCAUUAGCUAGUUGGUAAGGUAACGGCUUACCAAGGCAACGAUGCAUAGCCGACCUGAGAGGGUGAUCGGCCACACUGGAACUGAGACACGGUCCAGACUCCGACGGGAGGCAGCAGUAGGGAAUCUUCCGCAAUGGGCGAAAGCCUGACGGGGCAACGCCGCGUGAGUGAUGAAGGUCUUCGGAUCGUAAAACUCUGUUAUUAGGGAAGAACAUAUGUGUAAGUAACUGUGCACAUCUUGACGGUACCUAAUCAGAAAGCCACGGCUAACUACGUG
rnacentral:rRNA from 1 species